ensembl:lncRNA
CCUCGGCUGUCUGUUACAUGUGCUGCUGACAGUAGUGUGUUAGUUGAGAGUCAUGACUCAGGACCAGCUAGUCACAUUGGAUUGGAUUAUGUUGUUGAUUUACCUCUUUACAAGGAGAGUACAAGUGAAGAAGAAAUAUUUGAUUCUGCUACUUCAGAUGAGGAAUCUUCUUUUACCCCUGACGUAGAAGAAGGUCUGCCUGCUACUCAGGGUGCUGAGGAUAUUUUUCAUGCUUCCGCACGAGCUGAACCAAUAAACCACAGCUUGAACCUUCUCAGGGAGAGUGGAUAUCUUCGGGCAACAGAGAUACCACGCAUACCUUUUUUGCUCUUCAUAUGGCUUAUAUCCUCACUUUUAUCCAUCAUAACAUGGAUGAAAAUCCAAAUUCAACAAGCAUGGCAUGAAGAAAAUGGCCAAGGAGCUCCCACUAACAAGAGAGUCGGACCAGUGGCUGCGGCUCCUGAUCCCUAGACCCUUGAUGCUCCUCCAGAAUCGAUUGGAAUAUCAAAACACAGUCUGUGUGGGAGAAUUGAUCAUAUAUAUAAAUUUUAAAAUAAAAUGUUCAAUCUGAUUGUAGACUG